GAUUGAAUAUUUUCUUGUUCAAGAAGCUUGUUGAUAGCUUUUAAUCUUCUCUGUGAAAAAAUGAUGCAAAGAAGAGUCCAGAACCUCGAUUUAUUUUCUUGUCAAAUAGACAAAGGGGACAACGAACUGGGGCUUUGUACUUGUAUCUUCUUUGAUCCAGCAGAUGAGGAUGGAAAGGAACCAGGGGUUUUUAUAACUGAAAUUAUUGAAGGAGGUGCAGUUCACAAACUUGGAUGUAUCCGUGUAUUUGACCAGAUUAUUAAAAUAGGUGACAUCAAUCUAAUUGGAUUGGAUGAAGCAGAAAUCGUCUCUACUUUUAAAAAAAUGGACGAUUCUCCUUUCCAGUAAGUAAAUUUUCCCACAUUUCUUUAAGAUGCAGAGAUUGCUAGAUCAUUGUUUUUGAUUUGGAAAUUUCUUUAGCAAUGUGUUCAAACAGAAAAAUUGGGGAGAAAGAUAGCCUAAUUAACAUGUUUAAAUAAUUUCUCUUUUUGUCUUCUUUUGCUAGGAAAUGACCCUCUUUUUUUUUCUGUUCAGCAGUUCACAAGACAUUUUAGGACCCAUUUGCACCUUCCUUUCUGAGUACUCUAUCACAUCUCAAGCAAACCCUUGAUUUUCGUUUGCAUUUAUUUUUAGUUAAUGAAUUUUUAUUUUCUUGGCAAAUAAUGCUCCUUGAACCUGAAGAGGUUUUUUUGUUUUGUUUUGUUUUGUUUUGUUUUGUUUUUGUAAGAAUGAAAGCUUUUAGCUGAAUUUCCCCAUUCUGCUCUUUGCAUGGCUAUGUCUUAAUCCAAAGUACAUAAAUUAAAUGUGCAUAUUUUGUACCUAGGAUUGAAAUUGGCCGCGAACCACCUGAAGUCAAGUCAGAACUUAUCGAACUCCUCGAGUUGUCAGAGGAAAGGAAGAAAUAUUUUAUGGAUUCGCUCAUAGUACAGGAAAAAAUUAGAGAUAUCACUAUUGUGAGAGGACAAGCAAGUAUUUGUAGAAGUCCAAGAGUACCAUGGUACUGGAUGGCCAGGUAUAUAUAUAUAUGUGUAUAUAUAGGUAUAAAGAUAUAUAUGUAAGCUUUUAUUGAGUAUGUAAACUAGUGGUUUUUUUAGACAAAACUUAGUGAAAGGUUAAUAAUAAAAUAACAAUAUGCUUUUGCCUCUAAAUUCCAUUUACUGGGAAGAUUUCCAAAUUGGAGACUCAAUUUAAAAAAUGUAUAUAUUCAGUGGGUUUUUUGGAUAAUAUUUUCCUGAUGAGGAAUGGCCUCAUCAUUUCUGGCUUAUAAAUAUAUAGAAUGCAAUAAUAUAAUGCAUUAAAAUAAGUAAAUAUCAGGAAUAGAAGAAAUCUGGAAACAUCUUGAUAAACUUUGAUGUAUAGCAAAUAGAACAGAUAAAAACAAAAACAAAAAGAAUGUUUUUUUUUAACUUUACCUUCUGUCCUAUAAUUGAAGCUAAGUGUUGUCAGUUCCAAAGCAUAAGAGCAGUAAGAGCUAGGCAUUGGGGUCAAAAGACCAGCCCAGGGUCACAUAGCAAAGAAGAACCUGAGGCCAGAUUUGAAUGCAGGACCUCCCAUCUCCAGAAUCUCUCUAUCCACUCAGCCAAUUAGCUGUUCAUGAAAAUAUAUUUUUUGUGAAUCAAGACAAAAAAAGGUCUAGAGAGAGCAAUGGAUAAGCAAAAACUGUUAGGCAGAAGAAUAGAUUUAAAAAUGUUAUUUUAGAGUGUUUCACUGACUCCCUAUUAUGUAAAUUCAUGUUCAACAUAAAUAGCACAAAAAGGCUAGAGUCUCCUAAGCAUGAUGAUUGUUCCUUAGGUUACUAAAAGUGUGGAAUCAAGCAUGAAACUCCCUAGGUUUCUUCAAAUGGACAAUAUAUUUUAGACUCUUCAUACAUCUAGUGAUAAUGUCCAGUUCUGAUUGUAUCUCUCCAGGACUUCUUAAAUAUUGACACUGUUUUAGUGAAAAAUUCAGAGUUUUUUGCACUCAUUGCUUUCUAGCAUUAUUGAACAUAUAGAAGGAUGAAUUUUUUCAAAUAUCUAUGGUCACUCCAAGAUAGAUGCAAAGUUAAGACAGUGUAGUUUCCUAGAGUCACAACUUAUUGUCAUAUUGUUGUUCAGUUGUAUAAUUCUUCCUAGGACACUCUUCAGAGUUUUCUUGGAAAAAUACUAGAGUGGUUUGCUAUUUCCUUCUCUAGCUCAUUUAACAGGUGAGGAAACUGAGGCAAACGUGAUUAAGUGACUUGCCUAGUGUUACACAGUUAAUAAGUGUUGGAUUUGAUGACUGAAUUUUAACCUAAAAGAUGAGACUUUCCUUACUCUAGGCUUGACACAUCCAGUGUGCCACCUACCUAUCCUUGCUGCCAUUAAUAUUCACAGUUUUAGUUGGAUUACCUAGAGAAAAGAGUAAAAUAUAACUCAGCUGUGUGCCUGUGAUAUCAAAUAGGGAUAGGAAUUUCCCAAAGAAGUAUAACAGUGACAAAGGGUUGUAAAGUUUAAAAUUAGUGGUUGGAUGAUGAUUAUAUGAAAUUAUGUGAUUGCCAGUACUUAUUACAACUUGAGUCAGAAUUUAUUUACAAAUAGAGAGGAAACAAUAAAGAAGAGAAAUGUAAAGGGGAUGGAGAAGUUAUCUAUCCUAUCAAUCUAAAUGCUUUUCUCUGGGUCUGCUUAAUCCAGGAAGAGAUUAAUUAGCUCUAACCAGGAACCUUGCAGCCUCCUCCAAGAUGGAAGUUAGUCUCUCUAAAAUCUAGGAGAGGGAUCAGCCUUUUACUCACCCAAGGGAAUAAUCCUAGAGUCAGAGUCCAAUUAGAAGCGUAGUUCCAAACCCAUGAUCCAAGCAAGUCUCCAGCAAAGCUCCCUUGAAGACUAUCUAAGACUAUCUCCAGAAGACAAUCUCUUCAGACUAUCUUCUCAAAGACAAUCACUCUGCCCUAAAGAAGUUCGGGGUUUGCUUUUUAUGGUGACUUCUUGUCCCCUCCCCUCUUCUCAGGGGUCAGUCACAGUUUCCAAAUUGUCUAGCACUGCCCAUGGGGCAGUAUGGGUAGGAUCAACUUUUCACCUUCUGAAGGUUAAAUUCUCAUCAAAAAGAUUCACAGAUUCCUGGCUGACUGAGGUGUGAAUUCUCUAAGUACCUUGCUAGAUUCUCAUCUAGUACUAAAUAUAGUGUUUCAUCUUUUGUUGGUACAAUUUAAAAGGAGACAAAGGAGAGUUAAUCCUCUUUUUCUGUCUAGUGAAGGUACUAAAUAGGGGUACUUAAUAGUGUUAACUCAGGAUAGACAGUAAAGAAUUCCCUUUUCACAGGAUACUGGGGUCCAGAGGAUUGGGAUGAUGCUGUGUCCUCUCCCUUUCCAUUAAGGUCUUUCCUGUUUUCGACCUAAGCAUGUAAUGACUACUUUAGUCUUGGGGAGACCAGUCCACUUGAAGGAAAGAUCAGGCAUUUAUCUCAGUCUUUGCUUCCUUUUGCCUCUACCAGGUAGCUCCAAGGAAAAUUGAACAGAAAAAUUUGGUCAAAUAAGGAAGUGCAAAAGUACUUGAUCUACUCUGUGAGACAGCUAUGUAUUUCCUCUUCAUAAAACAUAGGCUUAAUAAACACAGGGUCUGAAUGCAGUUCAGGCUCUCUGGACCUCUGAAAUUCAGAAUGUUGAUUUUAUGCAGAACACAAUAACCUCAAGACUGAUGUUGGAUCAUUUAUGUAGGAAAGGCAGUUAGAGGUUCAAGUUUGCUGAAUUGAGCCCUAAAGAUCUUGUGUCCACAUGGAAAAAGCUGCCAGACUCUUAGAGUGGGGAGGACAGCCCAUCCUCCUUCUGUUCAGGAGAGAAUUAUUUGCCACAUGCCCUAGAGUCAUGAUGGUAAACCUCUGGCACAUGUGCCAAAGAUGGCACAGAGAGACCUCUCUGUGGACACACAUAUGCCUUCCAUGGCAGAGUUAAUUACUAGAAAGGUAGAAGAACUUGGGGUAGGGGGACUGCUCCCUUCCCCUCUCUCCACUGUGCAUCCUUACCCCUCAGUACUCACUCCCAUUCCUGAGUGGAGUGCUCAGGCUACUCUCCUCUCUUUCUCCCUCCCCUGUCUGAGUAAGGGCAGAGGACACUUGGUUGCUGGGUGGCAUGGUCUCUAAAAGGUUCUAAAAGGUUUGCCAUCACUAUCCUAGAGCCUUUUUGGUGAACCUAUAGCAGGUGUGCUGGAGGGGCUGCUCCCUUCCCCUCUCCAUGUGCGCAAGGACAAUUCUUAUAUCACCUGCCCCUCAGCCUAGCAGUCAAAUGGGAACAUUUCCUCCCUCCCCUGUCUAGAGUAAAGUCAGGUGUUCUUACAUGCAUCAUGAGGGUUUCAGUUUGGUCACUUGCUCUCUAAAAGUUUUGCCAUCACUGCCCUGGAGAAUCAAAGGAGGAGAUGCGAUAACACCCCCCACACACAUACCUCCUCCUGUCACAGGGCUGGGACAGCUCUGAGCAUGUUCCAUCUCCAUUAUCAUGACAUUUAUAUGAGAAGACAGGCAGAUAGACAGGCAGACAUAGUGCAAAAUUCAUUAUUCACAUUUGUUCUAAAUGCAAGUUUAGGCCUUUCUUGAACCUCUAAUAUGAGAAAAAUCACAAUUCAAGAGAGCUGUGAUUACUUCUGUUACAAUGAUUGGGAGAAUCAUGUGGCAUAAUUUUGGAGUUGUGUGUUUUUAUUUUAUCUUUAGAGCUCAUUAAAUAAUAUUUGAGUAAGUAGAGAUAUAGGCUAGAUGUAUAAUUUCAUUGAAAUAGGGAAUACUCAUGUGUAUAGUUAGAAAAUCUGGAAACCCUACUACAUUACCCAGAAUAUUUUUCCCUUUGUGCACAUUUGAGUCAAUUCACAUAACUGUUUAUAAGUUCUGUAGCUCCUCUCAAUUGCUCUCUUCUUUCAUGACUGGU